GUUUCUUGUUUAAUACUUAAUUUUAGGAUGGCAUAAUUGAAAUCUGAAUAGUCAAAUUUUACAUUUAUACUCUGUAGCAGAUACAUAUAAAAGAUGUUAAAAUUUGUUGCUCACACUGUAUAUGCAUUACAUGUUGAUUUUACACUUCAAUUUUACUAUAAAAGGUAUAUUUAUAUUAUUGCCAUGAAAUUAAAUGUUUAUUUAUAACUUCCAGUUGCAGAACUAUUCCGGCUCUGAAGAGUGUGUUACAUCACCUGCCAGUGGUCAUGAGCUGAGCAAACCUGUCAAGCUCAUUACAGAUUUCACAAUACUGAAGUGGAGUUGAGGGAAAUGGAGAGAUGAUAGAUUCACAAGGUUCCAGUGACGAUUUUGGAGGGAAUGGAAGGGACAUGUAGAUCAUUGACAGAUGAAAUGAGGAAACAAGUGCUAGGCAUUUAAAGUGCAACCUCUGUAGAGCAACACCCUUUUUGAAAGUGUUCUUCAGAACAUCUUGGAUUUUAUGGAUGAGGGGCCAUUAUUUAAAGGUUUCAUGAAGGACUGUGAAGCUGGUCUCCAUACAGACUUGACCAGUUAUGGUUCCUUGAAGAUUUUAUGACAAGACUGGAGGAAGCCUAUUUACUAGCUGACAGUGCCGAAGUGGUUAUUGUUGAAGAAUAGUAAAGGAUUACAUUUCUGUGCGGAAGGAUUAAAAAACUACACCAGACUGGUGGCCAUGACAGAUGUCAGUGGGAAAUUUAAACAUGGACUAGAUACUUUAAUGUGUAGCAAAAAAGUUCAUCGUUGAUGGUGGUGUUUUUCUGUGAUAUAUUGACUGGGAUAGUAUUACUCUUCAGAAAUACAGAGCUGUCAAUGCUGCAAUUUUAUGGUGAAAUUCACAAUCCAUGUCCAAAAGUGCUUGUUUUACUAUACAGCAAAGAAGGAGAAAUUGUACUGGGCCGACACCAUUAGAUCGUAUGCAAUUUGGAGAUCUCAACAGUUAUAUGCAGUCGGGGAUAUUGUCAGUUGCAUGCAGUCAGGGGAUCUUGACAGAUGUAUGCAGUCAGGGGAUCUCGACAGUUGUAUGCAGUCAAGAGAUCACGACAGUUGUAUGCAGUCAGGAGAUCACGACAGUUGUAUGCAGUCCGGGAAUCUCGGCAGUUGUAUGCAGUCAGGAGAUCACGACAGUACUUCGCAGUCCAGGGAUCUUGACAGUUGUAUGCAGUCAGGAGAUCUUGGAUCUUUUGUACUGUUGACAUUCUCAAGAUUCUGUCUUAAAUAAAACCUACUUGGACAGCUUAAAAGCUUCUCUAUAACUUGCCUGUGACAUUCUAAAGUAGAAGACAUGUGUAUGAAUAUUUAGUUCCGGCAUGCAGUACUUGAGCAGUUGAGUUUUGGAAAGGUGGCAGUUUGAAUGUUUACAGUGAUCUCUGUAAACUAUUAAUUGGCAAAUUGAUGGGGAUUUUGGUAGUAAAUAUGUUAUCAGUGGUGCAAGACUGGAAUUUUGACCAAAUUCUAAGAAUUUUGACUCUAAGGUGAAAAAGUGGACUAAUCGCAUGAUAGGCAUCUAUACCUUUGCGCAGGCUAUAAAGAAGUGUCAUCUUUUUCAUGGGUAGUUUCGAGGACUUUUAUAACUUUUUUUUUUUUUUUUUGGCAGUUUGUGUAUUUUUGAAUGUGUUGAAGCACAAUGAGGAACCUUUGGACUUAACAGCAGUGUCAGAACAGGAUAACUGGUUCGGCUGGCCGGUCUGGGACGUCCAAUGCCCA